AUGAGGAAAAACUUGAACAGGUAUCUUCUCUCUCAUGCAUUGCUCCAACCAAUUCUUUAUUGACAACCAUGUUGGGCAUAUUUUUCUUUGUACAUAACUGAAUUUUUGUCUCAGCAUGAUUAAACACGCAAGCAUGCACACAUUAAUUAGCUCAAUUUUUUAAUACUGCUUUUUCGUGCCUAUGCAAGAGAGGCCUGUACAAAAGUACCUUUCUUAUAGUUGUUUGAUGUGAAAAUUUUUUAUGAAUGAUAUAAUCUGUCCCAAAAAAUGCGCUAUCAGUAAUUUAAGGAUAUACUGGAUGCUGUUAUUUUCACGCUGCAAAUUUCAGCAUCAUUUUGUGCCCUUUUUUGCUUUUCGCUCAUAAAAAUUUGAAAUUGAUAUGCAUAUCUCCGUUGUGAGAUUAUGUGAUCAAUGUCAUGCUUAGUUUUUUGUGUUUGGUCAAAUGUUCUAUGGAGUCUUUCCUCUCCUUUUUCUUGGUGGUGAGCAUGUACUUGGUGUUUAGUUUCAAAAAUUACUGUGAUGCAGGAAAGAAA
rnacentral:misc_RNA from 1 species